UACGUAGGGGGCUAGCGUUGUCCGGAAUCAUUGGGCGUAAAGAGCGCGUAGGCGGCCAGAUAAGUCCGGUGUGAAAGUCACAGGCUCAACCUGUGAAUGCCGCUGGAAACUGUCUGGCUAGAGUCCGGAAGGGGCGAGUGGAAUUCCUGGUGUAGCGGUGAAAUGCGCAGAUAUCAGGAGGAACACCAAUAGCGAAGGCAGUUCUCUGGGCCGUAACUGACGCUGAGGAGCGAAAGCGUGGGGAGCGAACAGG
rnacentral:rRNA from 1 species